rnacentral:sRNA from 1 species
UACAUACACCUGCAUUCAUUUCAGCCACGCCCAAGGCAGCUCUGCAAGCCAAGCCAUGAAAAACCGGUAUUUUCUAUUUGUGAAUCAUAUCU